rnacentral:tRNA from 2 species
UUGGGUGAAGCCAAAGAGCGGCACAUCAUUGUUAAUGAUGCCAAUGAAAUUAUAGUUCCUCCCAAG